GACGAACGCUGGCGGCGUGCUUAACACAUGCAAGUCGAACGGAAAGGCCCUGCUUUUGUGGGGUGCUCGAGUGGCGAACGGGUGAGUAACACGUGAGUAACCUGCCCUUGACUUUGGGAUAACUUCAGGAAACUGGGGCUAAUACCGGAUAGGAGCUCCUGCUGCAUGGUGGGGGUUGGAAAGUUUCGGCGGUUGGGGAUGGACUCGCGGCUUAUCAGCUUGUUGGUGGGGUAGUGGCUUACCAAGGCUUUGACGGGUAGCCGGCCUGAGAGGGUGACCGGCCACAGUGGGACUGAGAUACGGCCCAGACUGCUACGGGAGGCAGCAGUGGGGAAUAUUGCACACUGGGCGGAAGCCUGAUGCAGCAGCGCCGCGUGCGGGAUGACGGCCUUCGGGUUGUAAACCGCUUUCGCCUGUGACGAAGCGUGAGUGACGGUAAUGGGUAAAGAAGCACCGGCUAACUCCGUG
rnacentral:rRNA from 1 species